AUGCAGCGACGGCUUGUGCACAAGCAGUUCAACUCGCCGAUCAAUUUGUACUCGCAGAAAAACAUCCAGGAAACGCUCGACCGCGAACUGAAGCUCCUCUCGAAUGGGGCCGUCGGCUGUCGCACGAUUCAACCGUCACAACUGCUGCAUUUCUUCUUGCUCUGCUUUAUUAUUUGAUGAUGUUCCGGGGUUUUGGAAAAGAGCGCGCACCGAAACUAAAAGCAACACUCGCCAAACGAAAAGUUUUUCGCCGAUUUUCCUCCAACCUGUGUUCAACAUUAACAAACCAAAGCAACAAAAAAAACCCGAAAGCAACUCAACCCGCCUGACCGGCAAAUAUAUAAAUCACGUCCGGUAAAUAUUUUUCUUUCGGGUAAAAGAAUUUUAAAUUUACCGAACCAUUCGGACCAGCAUCCACCACAUCAUGACCACCCUCGCUACCGCGCCUCCCCAUCAUCUCCAUAACACAGCUUCUUUGGUCCCAUGGUUGCCGUUGCCACACUACUGCCAUAACGUUGAUUAUGUUAUUUUCCGGCCAGUUUCCAACACAACGGUACGGCGGAACAGUUCGUUUUCGGUAACCAUCAUCAACAACCAAAGGGAAAUUCAAAAACAAAACCAGAAAAAAAACAUAACAAAACGCUUUUGUGGAAAUAAAAAGAAACACGUAACACCAAAACCACCGAAAACCAAUCCAACCACGAUGGAAUUUUCGCAUUUCACGUUCUCGAAUGGUUUAUGCAUGGAUCGGAGGCUCGAGGUUAGCGUGAGUGUAAUUUUUCACCGAUUUUCCACGGUACGUGCGCCCGUAGUAUGCCGAUGGGCGCUUUCAGUGGUGUGCGUGUCGCUCUAAAGCUUUUUAUUUGAAAAAAAUCGAAAGGAGCCAUUCACGCGGUAAAACACGGCUAUGCGUUAUGCAUACAGUAGAGAGGACAAAUGCAAAUGGUUUUGUAAACUGUUUUCUUAAUUAAUGGAAAACCUUUUAUGCAUAACAAAACAACGACAUACAAACGAUAAGGUAAUAAAACUCCAUAAUACUAAUAAUUAUUAACAAAUUUCCA